rnacentral:lncRNA from 1 species
AGUAAUCUAGAGGUGAUUUAAAGUCUACGGAAGGAUGUGCAUAGGUUAUAUGCAAAUACUAUGCCAUAUUAUAUCAGAGCAUCUGUGAAUUUUGGUAUCUCUGGGGUCCUGGAACCAAUAUCCUGAGGUUUCUAAGGGACAACUGUAUUCAAUUUCUUCUCUGGUUAUUAGUCUAUUCUCUAAUGUAUUUUUGUUGUUGUUUUGUCUUUUUGUUUUUGCCUCUUCAAGUCAAUGUCGGAAACUUAGUUGUUUUAGACAACCCAUUAGCUCAGAGCUACCAGUAAGCAGACUACCACUGCAAUCUAAGCAACGGAUUUUUUCCCCCAUCAGACUGGCAAAAAAUAAGCAUCUAUUGAUGUUGAAAUUGUAGGGAGUUUUCCUGAGCAUGUUAAUUAUGACAGCCCUUUUUGCUAGGCACCUACACAAUUCAUCAAAAUGAAAUAAAACACCCAUGCACUUGAAGAAGUUAUCUGGUUAUUUCCUUAUCUGGGUGCUGGUUAUGUGAGGUCUACAGUUAAUGAACACUUAUUAAGCUUUAUAUUUCUAAUAGGUACAAUUUUCUGCAUGUGUAGUAGAUUUCAAUAGUUUUUAAAAUGUCUUUUGCCGCAGCCCGCAGCUGUGUAUAAUGCUAUUCGCUUAACAGUGGAAAACAUGGCAAUGACCUGAAUCCCCCUGGCUCCCGGGAUCCUACCCCCUUAAGUUAAACAAAUGAAAUAACUUCCACUGUCUUUCCUAAUGUCUUAAUUCGGUCCUCAGUUAAACUGGCGGUGGGCGCUGCUUUUUUUCCAGGGAAGGAUUCUGGAAGACAUAGGAGGAGACGCCAGCAUUUCGCCCUCCAGCACCUCCUGCGGGCUGUGGUCCGCUUCCGGCCUCACUCGAGCAGACCCCGCCCUCCCAGAGGCCGUUUGUCCAAGUCACGUGAUCGUCGAAUCUGUUGACCUGGCGCCACCGGAAAAAGAAAUUCCCGGGCCCUGGCUUCUUGGCCUGAUGGUGAGGCACCAGAGGCACUGCUAGCCUUGAAGCCUCCAGCCUGCUGGAUGCCUCCAUCCCCGGCUAUGCUGUGGCUCUCCUCAUUCUAGGCCUCCUGCUCGUCACAUUCACCCUUGUCCUGGUGCUAAAGUGGAGGGCCUCCCAUGGGGUGUUCAGCCUGGGUGUGUAGAAGCACACAGUGUGGUACAGAGGACCCUCUCCAGACAGGUGACCCCUCAUGCUGCUGCUCCCUCUGCUGAAACCCAAACUGCAAACCUCUCCUCUCCCUGCCUUCACCUUGCCCCACGGCUUCCACAGACAGUGCCUCAACCCCGAGGAAUGAAUCCGAAGUUCCAACACCACUGACUUUCCCAGGAACUCAGAGCCAGAGAGGGCCAAGGACCAGCUCGAGGACACACAGCCAGGGCUUCUUCCCUCCGAAACCCCCAAGGACUGGACUUGCAGGGCUGGGACAGAGGUGGGGUGGGGGAAAGCAAUGCCUUGUCAACCCACGUGGGGAGCCCCACUCCCAUCCCCAAGGUGCAUAAAGUUGAGGAACACCCCUGCU